CGUCAAAACAGUUUAAGUCAGUCUUUAACCUUUUAGCAGACUAGUUGGGGAAUAUUCCACAAGAGAGCAAGUGAGAACCUGCAAGGUCACAUAGACCUAGGCUGUGAAGGGUCAUGUUAUGACUUAUACUCUUAUGCCAUUAGCCAAAGUAAGUCAAACAAACAAGCACAAACUCAAGGCACAGGCAUACACCACCCGCUAGGAGGCCAUGCCAAGGGUGUGGAUACAUGGAAGGGUGAAGAACUGGACUAGUCUUUCAAUACCACAGCCCCUUUCUUCUCUAGGCGUGGAGCUGCUAGGAGUGAGCCCCACAUCAGACAUCUGUCUCUGGUAGGAGAAGACAGUCAAGAUCCAGAGAGAUGCAAUGGAAGACAGGAUGGGAGAAGGUCCCAAUCAUUUUCUAGUUAUUAAUAACAGUUUUGGCUGUGCUUAGAUUGCUGCACUUGGGAGGUUUGGUUAAUCAACUUUUUGUUUUGUUUUGUUUUGUUUUGUUUUUGUUUUACUAGGAGGU
rnacentral:lncRNA from 1 species